GCCCUCAUGGCUCAGGGGUAGAGCAUCUCCUUGGUAAGGAGAAGGUCACGGGUUCAAAUCCCGUUGAGGGCU
rnacentral:tRNA from 2 species